AGUCUUCUCGAAGCCGACCCUUUGCUGGGUUGGCUUUGGGCCAUGGACAAAGCUUGCGACCGUGAGGUCGCUCGUCUUGAAAAUGCAUCUGACCGAAGUGCCCUGAGGCCCCGACCACGUAAUAAAGCAAUAUGCCAUCAAUAAAGGGUUUCGGCGGCCUUCGUUUCAACUGCUUUUGUGCCCCUUUG
rnacentral:misc_RNA from 1 species